rnacentral:ncRNA from 2 species
AGCGAUGGACGGGGGUAUCCUACAAUUGUAGGAUUGAGAAAGACUCUUAUUAGCUGAUCUAGUUUAUACUAGCGUAGCGAGUUCCUUUUUUAAAUAU